rnacentral:rRNA from 1 species
CUACGGGUCGCUCCAGUGAGGAAUAUUGGACAAUGGGGGCAACCCUGAUGCAGCAACGCCGCGUGGAGGAUGACGCAUUUCGGUGUGUAAACUCCUUUUAUAUGUCAAGAAAAUGACGGUAGCAUAUGAAUAAGCACCGGCUAACUCCGUGCCAGCAGCCGCGGUAAUACGGAGGGUGCAAGCGUUACUCGGAAUCACUGGGCGUAAAGGACGCGUAGGCGGGUUGGAAAGUCAGGUGUGAAAUCCUACAGCUUAACUGUAGAACUGCACUUGAAACUUCUAAUCUAGAGUAUGGGAGGGGGAGAUGGAAUUAGUGGUGUAGGGGUAAAAUCCGUAGAUAUCACUAGGAAUACCUAAAGCGAAGGCGAUCUCCUGGAACAUUACUGACGCUAAGGCGUGAAAGCGUGGGGAGCAAACAGGAUUAGAUACCCCCGUAGUC